GUUGUGGAAAGGGGACUGAAGUCCUGCGUUUCCUCCUUUGCGCCGCUGCGGCGGGUUUAAAGGAGGAGAAGGAGGAGAAGAGGAGCAGAACAAGUCCCCGGCUGACUCCUUCUCCCGGCUCCGCGGAGGUCCAGCGGAGCCGCGGGCAGCGACACCACGCCCUGGCUGCGUGAGAGAGAGCCGAGGUCCGGCCGGCGGAGCCGGGGCCGCGGGCACGCGCGGGCAGGAGCCGGCGGCCGCGGGCACGAGCCUGCAGGAGCGGCCCGGCCCGGCCCGGCCCGGCCAGGACGGGGAUCAAGAAACACUCACACCUAAAUGGGAAGAAGGAAGAAGAAGAAGCCACCGACGGCGUUUGGGUCUUUAACGGGACUGUGCGUCACCCCGCGCGGCCCGUGUGGAAGUCUCGUGCUCCACGGCCGACUCCCUCUCACCCUCAAAUGGCUGACACACAGCAGUUCUUCACUGGCAAGCUUUAUGUUCCUAUACACAUGCUAAAGCUGCCAGCUGAAGAACUGCUCUGGCCAGCCCUGCCCCGGACGACUCGAGUAGGAGAAGCGGAUAAAAGACUCAGUAGUACGACUGGAGUUUCGUAUCCUGCCAGAUUUGAGCCUCUAUUAUUUUUAGUUGUGCUGUGGAGAAUAUUUAUUGGUUUUGUGGUCACACAUGAUGUCUGUUUCUCACAAAGCUGCUUAAAUAAUGCCUAUGAGCUUUUGUUUUUUUCCCCCUCCUUACAAUAAAGAACAAAAUGUU